CAUGGUCAUGGAGACAACCUGACUACACCUCCUGAACCCACAGAGGAACCAGCUGAGCAGCACAGGAACACAACACAGUCUCGCUGAGUCAGUAGACAUGGAGGAUGGGAAGCCUGAUUUGUUGAUCAAACAGGAGACAAUAGAGGACGGACCAGAGAGCUUGACCUGCUGAGUGGACUAAAGAUGGGGGAGCAAGGUGGUUGGCUGGGGGCUAAAAGAGGAGAUUGGGCGGCCAUCUUCGAUUCCCAGACCCAGACAGGUGCAACCAAGGGCCCAGGGACGACAUCACUGAGCAGGCCAGGACCAGAGGCGACAUAGUGGAGGUCAGUGGA